GAUGAACGCUGGCGGCGUGCCUAAUACAUGCCAGUCGAGCGAACGGACGAGAAGCUUGCUUCUCUGAUGUUAGCGGCGGACGGGUGAGUAACACGUGGAUAACCUACCUAUAAGACUGGGAUAACUUCGGGAAACCGGAGCUAAUACCGGAUGAUAUUUUGAACCGCAUGGUUCAAAAGUGAAAGACGGUCUUGCUGUCACUUAUAGAUGGAUCCGCGCUGCAUUAGCUAGUUGGUAAGGUAACGGCUUACCAAGGCAACGAUGCAUAGCCGACCUGAGAGGGUGAUCGGCCACACUGGAACUGAGACACGGUCCAGACUCCUACGGGAGGCAGCAGUAGGGAAUCUUCCGCAAUGGGCGAAAGCCUGACGGAGCAACGCCGCGUGAGUGAUGAAGGUCUUCGGAUCGUAAAACUCUGUUAUUAGGGAAGAACAUAUGUGUAAGUAACUGUGCACAUCUUGACGGUACCUAAUCAGAAAGCCACAGCUAACUACGUG
rnacentral:rRNA from 1 species